GGUGGUAGCUCAGUGGUGGAGAAUCUACUUUGAACGUAGAACAUCCCAGGUUCAGUCCCUGGCAUUGUCA